rnacentral:rRNA from 1 species
GACGAACGCUGGCGGCGUGCCUAACACAUGCAAGUCGAACGAAGCAUUGAGAGCUUGCUUUUGAUGCUUAGUGGCGGACGGGUGAGUAACGCGUGAGCAACCUGCCUUUCAGAGGGGGAUAACGUUUGGAAACGAACGCUAAUACCGCAUGACAUAUCUGAGUCACAUGAUUCGGAUAUCAAAGGAGCAAUCCGCUGAAAGAUGGGCUCGCGUCCGAUUAGCUAGUUGGCGGGAUAACAGCCCACCAAGGCGACGAUCGGUAGCCGGACUGAGAGGUCGAACGGCCACAUUGGGACUGAGACACGGCCCAGACUCCUACGGGAGGCAGCAGUGGGGGAUAUUGCACAAUGGAGGAAACUCUGAUGCAGCAACGCCGCGUGAGGGAAGAAGGAUUUCGGUUUGAAACCUCUGUCAUUGGUGACGAUAAUGACGGUAGCCGAUGAGGAAGCUCCGGCUAACUACGUGCCAGCAGCCGG